CACUCCACCGCCGUGUCUCCCAGGCACGCUCACCCACCGGCUCAUUCGGAGGCUCGUAGCAAACUGUAAACUAGCAACCAGCCUGGUUUGGAAUUUGUCACACUGCUGGAAGUUUCUGCAAGGGGAAUGUAAACACAGAGAUUCUGCAUUCCUUCUGGGUGGAAGCAAAUUGAGGGGUAAUGAGGAAUGGCACGGGCUUGUAGGAAAAUGCUGUUGGCCAACACAUAUGUGAUAGAAACUUCAACAUUUACAAUCUAGGAAAAGACCAGGCUCCUUCUGCCUCUGCUCCCAGCCACUGCCCCCUGUGCCCAGGCCCGUUCAUACCUUGCGUGGAGGACCCGGUCAUUCACGGCCCCAGCUGGCGACACUCCCUGCUCCCAGGGUGCUCCUUCUGCCACCCCAUCUCCCUGCUGCCCAGAAAUGACUCUCCUCACCAUCAAACCUUCGAAGACACGGAGACCAUCUUCACAUCAACCCACCAGAGACCCACCAGAGACAGCCGACUGCCUGGAAUUCUCUAGAAGGCAUCACUCUGAACCUUGGACCAGAGGCAGCGGCCUACAAUGCACACUCUCCCUCACUCAGGAGGGUGCAGGAGCCACACUUGUCCGCUGAUCCGUGGGAUCGAGCUGUCGGAGCGUCAGAUCUGCCCUAUAGAUGUCCGUUCCUAUCGCUUCCUCGGAGGACGUGGGGCCCGGCAAGAGGGCAGGCUGGGAAGAGAGAGAUGAAGGCACCGGAGACAGAUCCCUCCCUCCUUGUUGCUGUGCCCUGCCCGCACCAGAGGCGCCAACUCAGAGUAGCCACCAUGGGGCCUUCUAACUGGGCUCAGCCUCCUGGGCCGCAUGAAGGGGGCUGCUCCUAGCUUCUUGGAAUGUGCUGGAUUCACCCUGCAGUCCCACUGAAGUCCCUAUUCCUGUUGCUGACUUCGGAAGAAGAAGGGCACUAGCGAAGGGCUCAUGGCUGGUCUGCCAGGCCCCGCAAGCCAGGGGAGGGCCACAGCCUGGCCCGCCUGUCCUCAUGGGGGACUCGGGAAGCCUCCCCACCUCAAAUGUAACCUAGAACUUCCCUUUGCGCUGUGUGUGUGUGUGUGUGUGUGUGUGUGUGUGUGUAAGCCUCUCAUGGCAUCAGGAUAGAACCACUAACUAUCUUGAGGGAUAGCUCCCGUUUUGGAGAGUUCAAGGAAACCACCCUUGAAGGGUUUUCCAAACAGCCCAGGAGCACCUGUCACCCUGCGACAUCAUUCACAUGCCUAUUACAGACGACGCCUGUCUCUUCCAGGGGCGCUCCGAGCAAUCCAAGGAGACAAAGUGAACAAUUUUCCUGGCCUGGGAAACUAAAAAGUGUGGGAACCACUGAUCUAGUGCUAAAGGAAGGAAAACAGGAAUAGCUUCUGUCUGUCCCGCACCUUACAGUAAUUACGCUAAUAAGUAACUCAACAGGGACAACGUGGCCUGGGUGGGGAGGCGGAGACAGCCCCGGAACGGGGAUUCCGCGAGUGAUCCUACCCGCUCCCGCUGGCUAGUCUGCGCGAUGAGCCUGCAGAGUCUGAGAGCAAGUCUUCACAGGGAUUUACUGCGAUGUCUCAUUUUUUUCAGUGAUUCCGAUGGAGUCAUCACCCCCACCCCCCGACUACUCAGUGUGCGGUGUACCUGUACCUGUGAACACCUGGGGUCACCACACCCAUUCUCUUGGUUCAUUAUUUCCCGGAAGCUUCCAGCUCCUUCUGCACACCAACCCCCCCACCCCCCACCCCCACCCGUGGCUGAGCAGGGGAGGGAGGAAGAAGCCAGUGGAACAAGGGGGGGAGGGGAUGGGCUGCCACUGUGGCUCCAGCCUCCCUUUCC